GCAGACGUGGCGAAAUUGGUAGACGCGCGAGAUUUAGGUUCUCGUGUUUUAAACUUGAGAGUUCGAGUCUCUCUGUCUGUA
rnacentral:tRNA from 1 species